UUCCGGUUGAUCCUGCCAGAGGUUACUGCUAUCGAGGUUCGACUAAGCCAUGCGAGUCGAAUGUAGCAAUACAUGGCGUACUGCUCAGUAACACGUGGACAACCUACCCUCCGGUCGGGUAUAAACCCGGGAAACUGGGUAUAAUCCCCGAUAGAGCUCGAAUGCUGGAAUGCAUUGAGCUCGAAAGCUCCGGCGCCGAAAGAUGGGUCUGCGGCCUAUCAGGUAGUAGUGGGUGUAGCGUACCUACUAGCCUACGACGGGUACGGGUUGUGAGAGCAAGAGCCCGGAGAUGGAUUCUGAGACACGAAUCCAGGCCCUACGGGGUGCAGCAAGCGCGAAAACUUUACAAUG
rnacentral:rRNA from 1 species